rnacentral:rRNA from 1 species
UACGGAGGGUGCAAGCGUUGCUCGGAAUUAUUGGGCGUAAAGGGCAGGUAGGUGGUCUCAUUUGUCUGGGGUGAAAGCCUUGGGCUUAACUCAAGAAGUGCCCCAGAAACGGUGAGACUAGAGUCCUGGAGAGGGUCGUGGAAUUCCCGGUGUAGCGGUGAAAUGCGUAGAGAUCGGGAGGAACACCAGAGGCGAAGGCGGCGACCUGGACAGGAACUGACACUCAACUGCGAAAGCGUGGGGAGCAAACAGG